GCUGCUGUGAGGAGGAAGGGACAGGAGGUUGUGCAAGGGACAGAAAGGAUGAGAUGUCGUAUGAGGGACAGACAGGGUUAGGUUGGCCCUGCUAGGGACAGGAAGGAGUGAGCUGGAGCUGCAGAAGGAACAGAGAAGACUUCAGAGAAAGCGCUGGAGCUGUGUGGAGCUGCCCUUGGGAGGAUACAGAGAAGAGAGCCAGCUGCUAGGAGAAGCCCCCAUCCGCUGCAUAUGCCUCUUCAGGCUUCAGCGGCUGUAGUGGGACGAUGCCUACCUGCUUGUCUCCACCAGCAUAGCCCUGUGCUUUGGGAAGACAUUUUGGAGGACACCUGGUAUCGUACCUGGAUGCCGGGUGUAAGUUGUGAAGUUACAAAUACCUUCCCAGGAAGAUGCCUCUAAUGUUGAAGAAAAUAAGCUUCCAUUACAGAAACACUGGUUCCAUUCCAUGGGAAUUAUGAAUACAACCUGGGUGCAUGAAAAAGCUGUAGGGGGAAUAACAUCUCAACACAAAAGCUUCAGAGGUAUUCUCAGAAGGUCCCCGUAGCACAUCCUUGGCACUAAGGAUGUACAUAUUGUACAAAGCACCUUUGUGUCUCUAUUAACACAAGGGCUGUCCAAAUAAGCUCUUAAAGCUGCCAAAAGAGAUUUGAUUGCCUCCUCUUCUUAUGGAGCAUCUUGGGCAGAAACUAGAAGCAAAGCCAAAUGCGGAGUUUCUGUUGACAUUGCUAAUUUUUCUUCUUCUUGUUUUAUUGACAAGGACAUAGAAAACAGCUCAUUGCUAUCCUUAUGGUAAGAAGAUUUUGUAUGUGGCACAGUCCUUCAGGUUCUCCACUUUCUCUUUUUCCAGCCUCUGAGAAGCCACUUCUACAGGAUUGCUGCCCAGUGGGUCUCACUUUGUGUUUGCAGAUUCUCACAGCUGCCUCAUGGCAGGUCGUCCCAUGCCUCUGCUGAAACUCAUCCUGUUGACUGGGAUUGCUUCUCCAAAUUAUCAACCAUUCACAUCCUACCCUAUAUAGGUGCUGACAGACACCUCCCCCAGGCCCCCCAGGACCCCACCCCCUGUUGAGUAUCACCAGGAAAAUUUAUAGUAAAGCAAUUUCCAAAAGUUACUGCUGAAAAUACAGAAUAGAUCUGGACUCUGGGCCAUCACUGGGACGAUUUCUCCAGAAAGCUCUCUGACUUUGACACUGAAUUGAACGUAUUGUGAAUCUAAAUAGGCUGCGGUUCCUCGGUUUGCGUACGAGAAUGUCUUCUGGGACAGUGCCAGAAGCCUCUCCAAAGUCAAGACAUAUCACAUCCAGUGCUGUUCCCCCCUAGCCAUGAGGCAAGUUAUCCUGUCAAAGAACGGAAUCAAAUUAGUUUGAAACGAUUUGUCCUUAGUGAAACCUCAACAACCCCAUUCCUGCCAUUUAUUUACAAAUUUAUAAAUCUUUAAGGGAUUAGAGAAUAACUGGUCAGUAGCUUGCUCUUUUAGGUUUUCACAGAGCGGUAUCAGGUCUGUAAUUCUCUAGGUUUUUCUUCAUCACCAGUUUGGUGAUGUUGCCAUGCUCUCUUUAAGUCCCCUGGCAGCUCAUGUGUAGUCUGCAAAGCUCCAACACCCAUCCCACGUUUCAUAUUUUUUCUUCUCAUGCUUCAGGCUGUUGAAGAGCUCUUGAUCCACUUUAUUGAUCUCUACUUAUAUUCCCUUCAUUUCUCUUGCAGCUGGAUAGUUUCUUAUUUGGACUAUGACUCCUUUUAUCAGUGCCCAGAUCUCUUUUAUCAUUUAGGACAUCUCUUCACAGAUCCUGCCUAUGAGUUUUCUGAAUUCAUUUAUAUUUGAUGUUUUGGUUUUUUGGAGUCUAAGUACUUUGAGAUUAACUAAUUUUACAAAGGUCUGGUAUCUAAGUGCAUUUUGAGGAGAAAAAGCUUGCAGCAGACAUCUCAGCACUUGUGUUAGAACCCAGUGCAGAAGGCAAGGGUUCUUGCUAAUCGAUCUCUUGGGGCCAACAGGAGUGAAAUGACACUGAGCAAGGGGUGUUUGUAAAUAUACACAUGUAGGGUCUAUUGUAGAACCAUUUGGUUGCACUGUAACACAGCCAUUUUUGUUAUUGUUAUGUAUAGUAAUACGGCAAUACAAAAGCACAAAAAUACCGCUUAAGAAAAUGGAUAAGAAAAAAAAAGGAAAGGAGUAGACAGGUCACCUGCAGGCCUCACAAUGAGACUUGGUUGUUGCUAUUUUCAUGUCUCUUGGUCAAAGUGAUGGUUUCAGACUGGAUCCAUUGUGUAGUGGGGGGACUCCGGAAGAAGUGGUAGGGAGAAAUCCCCCAAACACAACAUCUGCUGGGUUUAUAUUCACUCCGGUUCAGGUAGGAACACCCAGGUACCUCCCCUGGGGCAGGGAGUUUCAACUGGAUGAUGUAAUGUGGAUCAGUUCAGGAAUCUUUGACACUUUCUAAGACAAUACAUCUGCCUGUAACAUGAGGGAUUUGAGUCCAUUAUGGCCCAUUACAGCCCAUCAGCAGAGAUGAAAACCUACAGGCUAUCUAUGAAUGUCCCAGUACUUCCCCAGCUGGGGAGUUACCACAGCUGAGUUCAUUUGAGUAAAGACAAAGAGACACUAGCCUCCACACAGGGUUUGCCUCUUUCCUUAUCAGAAAAGAGUCGAUACAGUAUCUGGCUGAAGAGAGAGAGCUAUUUCUGAAGUGACUUGGAUGUUCCCACUCUGAGCUGCCAGGUUGU